rnacentral:rRNA from 1 species
UACGGAGGGUGCAAGCGUUGUCCGGAUUCAUUGGGUUUAAAGGGUGCGCAGGCGGGACAUUAAGUCAGGGGUGAAAGACGGUUGCUCAACAAUCGCAGUGCCUUUGAUACUGGUGUUCUUGGGUGACCUUGAGGUAGGCGGAAUGGGUGGUGUAGCGGUGAAAUGCGUAGAUAUCAGGAGGAACACCUGCGGUGUAGACGGCUUACUGGACCGUAACUGACGCUGAGGCACGAAAGCGUGGGUAGCAAACAGG